rnacentral:rRNA from 1 species
UACGGAGGAUCCAAGCGUUAUCCGGAUUCAUUGGGUUUAAAGGGCGCGUAGGCGGCAAUUCAAGUCAUCUGUGAAAUCUCCGGGCUUAACUCGGAACGGUCAGAUGAUACUGCUUUGCUAGAGUGCAGAAGGGGCAAUCGGAAUUCUUGGUGUAGCGGUGAAAUGCGUAGAUAUCAAGAGGAACACCUGAGGUGAAGACGGGUUGCUGGGCUGACACUGACGCUGAGGCGCGAAAGCCAGGGGAGCAAACGGG